rnacentral:rRNA from 1 species
UAGGGAAUCUUCCACAAUGGACGCAAGUCUGAUGGAGCAACGCCGCGUGAGUGAAGAAGGUUUUCGGACCGUAAAGCUCUGUUGUUGGUGAAGAAGGAUAGAGGUAGUAACUGGCCUUUAUUUGACGGUAAUCAACCAGAAAGUCACGGCUAACUACGUGCCAGCAGCCGCGGUAAUACGUAGGUGGCAAGCGUUGUCCGGAUUUAUUGGGCGUAAAGCGAGCGCAGGCGGAAGAAUAAGUCUGAUGUGAAAGCCCUCGGCUUAACCGAGGAAUUGCAUCGGAAACUGUUUUCUGAGUGCAGAAGAGGAGAGUAGAACUCCAUGUGUAGCGGUGGAAUGCGUAGAUAUAUGGAAGAAUACCAGUGGCGAAGGCGGCUCUCUGGUCUGCAACUGACGCUGAGGCUCGAAAGCAUGGGUAGCGAACAGGAUUAGAUACCCUGGUAGUCCAUGCCGUAAACGAUGAGUGCUAAGUGUUGGGAGGCUUCCGCCUCUCAGUGCUGCAGCUAACGCAUUAAGCACUCCGCCUGGGGAGUACGACCGCAAGGU